rnacentral:lncRNA from 1 species
GUCAUCAUGAAAAAUGGUACUUAUAUGUUCUGGGAGUAGCCUGGAGCAAUGCAAGAGUGCAUUCGUUCUCUAACAACGUCCCUAUAUAAGCAGGAGCGCACGUAACACUCAGACAUCUUUGUCUCGAGUAUCGAUCACCAAACUUCUGCCGAUUACUCUUGUAUCGCCACUUGCCUGAAAGCUCCGAGGAUACCACGAUGAAGACAACGGUGGUCAUACUGGCUAUCGUUCUUCUCUCAGCAGGUACGUUCCGAGGCGGCAAAGUUUUUUGAAGCCCUCCUAUGGGAUGGGAAGAUACGUACUUCGAAAGUAAUGUUUAUCAAUCUAAAAUACAGUAAUUGGUUAGCUGAAGUCCGCUUCUAUCUAGACCUGGGACUGGAGGCUGCUAAGUUCGCGACUACAGACGGUGUUCGUUCAUGCAUGCGUAUGAAAGUUCCCGUAGAAACACGAUGAGCGCACAUCUUCAAUAGCCAUAAGC